AACAAGGAUUCCCCUAGUAACGGCGAGUGAACCGGGAAGAGCUCAAAUUUGUAAUCUGGCCCUUGGGUCCGAGUUGUAAUCUAUAGAGGCGUUUUCCGUGCCGGACCGUGUCCAAGUCCCUUGGAACAGGGUAUCAAAGAGGGUGACAAUCCCGUACUUGACACGACGACCGGUGCUCUGUGAUACGUCUUCGACGAGUCGAGUUGUUUGGGAAUGCAGCUCAAAAUGGGUGGUAAAUUCCAUCUAAAGCUAAAUAUUGGCGAGAGACCGAUAGCGAACAAGUACCGUGAGGGAAAGAUGAAAAGCACUUUGGAAAGAGAGUUAAACAGUACGUGAAAUUGUUAAAAGGGAAACGAUUGAAGUCAGUCGUGUCGGUUGGAUUCAGCUCGGUCUCCGGGUGUAUUUCCUUCCGACGGGUCAACAUCAGUUUGGAUCGGUGGAUAAAGAUGGAGGGAAGGUGGCAUCCUCGGAUGUGUUAUAGCCCUCUGUUGCAUACGCUGGUCCGGACUGAGGCAUGCAGCUCGCCUUUAUGGCCGGGGUUCGCCCACGUUCGAGCUUAGGAUGUUGACGUAAUGGC
rnacentral:rRNA from 1 species